UACGUAGGGUGCGAGCGUUGUCCGGAAUUAUUGGGCGUAAAGAGCUCGUAGGCGGUGUGUCGCGUCGGCCGUGAAAACCUGGGGCUUAACUCUGGGCGUGCGGUCGAUACGGGCAUCACUAGAGUUCGGCAGGGGAGAGUGGAAUUCCUGGUGUAGCGGUGAAAUGCGCAGAUAUCAGGAGGAACACCGGUGGCGAAGGCGGGUCUCUGGGCCGAUACUGACGCUGAGGAGCGAAAGCAUGGGUAGCGAACAGG
rnacentral:rRNA from 1 species